rnacentral:rRNA from 1 species
UACGUAGGUGACCAGCGUUGUCCGGAUUUACUGGGCGUAAAGAGCGCGCAGGCGGUCGUUCAAGUCGAGUGUGAAAGCCCCCGGCUCAACUGGGGAGGGUCACUCGAUACUGGUCGACUUGAAGGCAGGUGAGGGAAGCGGAAUUCCCGGUGUAGUGGUGAAAUGCGUAGAUAUCGGGAGGAACACCAGUGGCGAAGGCGGCUUCCUGGCCUGUUCUUGACGCUGAGGCGCGAAAGCUAGGGGAGCAAACGGG